AUGCAGUCGAACGGCAGCGCGGGGGCAACCCUGGUGGCGAGUGGCGAACGGGUGAGUAAUAUAUCGGAACGUGUCCUGAAGUGGGGGAUAACGUACCGAAAGGUACGCUAAUACCGCAUAUGACCUGCGGGGGAAAGGAGGGGAUCGCAAGACCUUUCGCUUUUGGAGUGGCCGAUAUCUGAUUAGCUAGUUGGUGAGGUAAAGGCUUACCAAGGCAUCGAUCCGUAGCUGGUCUGAGAGGACGACCAGCCACACUGGAACUGAGACACGGUCCAGACUCCUACGGGAGGCAGCAGUGGGGAAUUUUGGACAAUGGGGGCAACCCUGAUCCAGCCAUGCCGCGUGAGUGAAGAAGGCCUUCGGGUUGUAAAGCUCUUUUGUACGGAAAGAAACGGUUACGGUUAAUACCUUGGACUAAUGACGGUACCUGAAGAAUAAGCACCGGCUAACUACGUGCCAGCAGCCGCGGUAAUACGUAGGGUGCGAGCGUUAAUCGGAAUUACUGGGCGUAAAGCGUGCGCAGGCGGUUNUGUAAGACAGAUGUGAAAUNNCCGGGCUUAACCUGGGAACUGCGUUUGUGACUGCAUGACUAGAGUNNNGGCAGANGGGGGUAGAAUUCCACGUGUAGCAGUGAANUGCGUAGAUAUGUGGAGGAAUACNCGAUGGCGAAGGCAGCCCNCUGGGUCGANACUGACGCUCAUGCACGAAAGCGUGGGGAGCAAACAGGAUUAGAUACCCUGGUAGUCCACGCCCUAAACGAUGUCUACUANUGUNGGGG
rnacentral:rRNA from 1 species